rnacentral:rRNA from 1 species
CCCUUAGAUGUUCUGGGCUGCACGCGCGCUACACUGAAGCUAUCAACACGUUUUCCCUCCCUGAGAAGGGCGGGUAACCUUUUGAAUCAGCUUCGUGGUAGGGAUCGGGGCUUGCAAUUGUUCCCCGUGAACCAGGAAUUCCUAGUAGACGCGAGUCAUAAGCUCGCAUCGAUUAAGUCCCUGCCCUUUGUACACACCGCCCGUCGCGACUACCGAUUGAACGUUUUAGUGAGGCAUUUGGACCGACGCAUCUCAGUUUAACCGCUGGUUUGUGUUGGAAAGACUUCCAAACUUGAGCGUUUAGAGGAAGUAAAAGUCGUAACA